GGCGCCAUAGCCAAGUGGUAAGGCAGCGGACUGCAAAUCCGCGACCCCCAGUUCAAGUCUGGGUGGCGCCUCCA
rnacentral:tRNA from 1 species